UUUUAAAGCAACUAAGGGCGCAUGGUGGAUGCCUUGGCUCUGAGAGGCGAUGAAGGACGUGGUAAGCUGCGAUAAGCUACGGGGAGAUGCACACAAUCGUUACAUCCGUAGAUUUCCGAAUGGGACAACCCACUAUACUGAAGGUAUAGUACACCGAAAGGUGAGCCAACCCCGAGAACUGAAACAUCUAAGUACCGGGAGGAAAAGAAAAUAAAUUAAUGAUUCCCCAAGUAGUGGCGAGCGAACAGGGAACAGCCUAAACUUAAGCGGCGUGCCGCUUGAGGGUUGUAGGACCACAUUUAGAAACUGUCAUCAAGCUGAACUUUCUGGAAAGUUAGACCAAAGAGCGUGAUAGUCGCGUAAGCGUAAAUUGACAGGGACGAGUGGUAUCCUGAGUAGGGCGGGACCGGAGAAAUCCUGCUUGAAUCUGCCAGCACCAUCUGGUAAGGCUAAAUACUCCUCAGAGACCGAUAGUGAACCAGUACCGUAAGGGAAAGGUGAAAA
rnacentral:rRNA from 1 species